GUCGCCUUGGGGACGCGUCCCGGCGCGGUGCGGGUGCCCCGGCCCGGGGAGAAGCGCUCGGGAGCGGGAGGCCCGCGCUGACGGCCCAGGGGCCGUACUCACAGUCCUCUUUGCACCGCUCCGCCACGUCCCCGUUGGCCCUGCGGACCCCAGCGGGCCCGCGCGGCUCGCGGACCGCCCGCCGUCCCUAAGGCGGACAGGGAAGGGCGUCCGCGUUCACCGCCAGGAUCUGAACGAGAAACUGAUGGCCUGCUCGAACGAGGGUGAUUCGAGGGCCGUCUAUGUACAGGGGGGCUAAGUAGGAAGGUGUGGUGGGUUUGGGGAAACCACUGUCAUACUGAGGUUCCAAGGAAAGGGGCGGCGGAGAGGUUCCCCCGCCCUAGAAGGGGAGUCUUUAGGGCCGCUGUCACUGUGGUUGAGGGCAUCGCCAGUCCGAGGUGAGGAGCAGAGAAGCUCGCGAUAUAAAUACCUGGCCUGUCUGGACUCUCGCCCUGUGGUCUGAUUUUGCUUCCCGUUGGCUGAGCCCAUUGCUGCAGCUGGAGACAGACAGACAAACAGACUCGGACGGUUGGAGAUGGCUGCCAGGCGGUGUGAAUUGUAGAAGCCCAAACGUGACCAUGUGACUGUGAAAAGGAUCAUACAGUGACAAUGACAGAGUUGUGGGGAAGAUGAGACGCUUGCGAUGAAGGCACUGUGGGCGCUGAAGCACAGAGUGGCCCAGGGCGCCCAUCGGCGGCGGCCCGAGCACCUUCCUUCCCCGUCUGAAACAUGCAGCAGGCCUGCUUGCUGGGAUGAGCCCCUGUCCAGGAGAAGACAGCCGUCUGAGGCCACAGCCGUCCCCAGAGCAGGAGAGCAUUGGAGCCGCGCCUCUGAUCGGGAAACACGCAGGUCACGGACAGCCUGGCCACGGGACAAGAUGUCAGUGGGCCCCCAGCCUCGUCAGCCAGCCAGGGCUCGCCCAGGACCGGCAGCUGUGCUGAACGGCACUUGUCCCACUGGCUAAGGAGUCUCGGCUGAGAACCGUUGAGACUGGCCAGCUUCUCAGAUUGCCACCCCAAGGGCUCCGAUCCUGGGGCUGUGACUGGAAGGACCUUCAGCCCUGGACCGGCAGGGCCAAGAGCAACAGCCCAUGGCUGACGGGAAGCGCUUGCCUGUGUCCCUUCCCUGGUGCUGACCUUCCUGCCCCCCGGCCAUGUGUCCCUCUGUUCAGGACCCCUCCCCUCUAGGGCCUGACCAGAACCAUCUCCUGCCUCCCAGCACAAGGACAGGCCUGACCACUGCUCACCCCCACCUGGGCUUCCCGAUAACCCAGCCCACCAGCCAAGCCUCCCCACCCAACCCAGUCUGCCUCCCUCUGGCCAUCUGCCCCACACACAGGGAGUGUAGUAGACGCUCUGCCUGGUUUUAGGAAUUGUGUCUCUACCCCUUGUGGCUAAGGGACCUCUGGAAUGCCAGCCACAGGAGACAAAGCUUGUCUCUGGUAGCAGACGCUGCCUCAGUUCCUCUCCCUGCCCCCAGAGCUUGGUCGGAAGUCAAUGA